rnacentral:rRNA from 1 species
AUUGAACGCUGGCGGCAGGCCUAACACAUGCAAGUCGAACGAGUGGCGGACGGGUGAGUAAUGUCUGGGAAACUGCCUGAUGGAGGGGGAUAACUACUGGAAACGGUAGCUAAUACCGCAUACUAACAUAUGUGCCCAGAUGGGAUGGGCGUGGGGGGGGGGUACCGGCUCACCUAGGCGACGACCCCUAGCUGGUCUGAGAGGAUGACCAGCCACACUGGAACUGAGACACGGUCCAGACUCCUACGGGAGGCAGCAGUGGGGAAUAUUGCACAAUGGGCGCAAGCCUGAUGCAGCCAUGCCGCGUGUAUGAAGAAGGCCUUCGGGUGGUAAAGUACUUUCAGCGGGGAGGCGUUACCCGCAGAAGAAGCACCGGCUAACUCCGUGCCAGCAGCCGCGGUAAUUC